AUGCAAGUCGAGCGGUAGCACAGAGAGCUUGCUCUCGGGUGACGAGCGGCGGACCGUGUGAGUAAUGUCUGGGAAACUGCCUGAUGGAGGGGGAUAACUACUGGAAACGGUAGCUAAUACCGCAUAACGUCGCAAGACCAAAGUGGGGGACCUUCGGGCCUCAUGCCAUCAGAUGUGCCCAGAUGGGAUUAGCUAGUAGGUGGGGUAACGGCUCACCUAGGCGACGAUCCCUAGCUGGUCUGAGAGGAUGACCAGCCACACUGGAACUGAGACACGGUCCAGACUCCUACGGGAGGCAGCAGUGGGGAAUAUUGCACAAUGGGCGCAAGCCUGAUGCAGCCAUGCCGCGUGUGUGAAGAAGGCCUUCGGGUUGUAAAGCACUUUCAGCGGGGAGGAAGGCGAUAAGGUUAAUAACCUUGUCGAUUGACGUUACCCGCAGAAGAAGCACCGGCUAACUCCGUGCCAGCAGCCGCGGUAAUACGGAGGGUGCAAGCGUUAAUCGGAAUUACUGGGCGUAAAGCGCACGCAGGCGGUCUGUCAAGUCGGAUGUGAAAUCCCCGGGCUCAACCUGGGAACUGCAUUCGAAACUGGCAGGCUAGAGUCUUGUAGAGGGGGGUAGAAUUCCAGGUGUAGCGGUGAAAUGCGUAGAGAUCUGGAGGAAUACCGGUGGCGAAGGCGGCCCCCUGGACAAAGACUGACGCUCAGGUGCGAAAGCGUGGGGAGCAAACAGGAUUAGAUACCCUGGUAGUCCACGCCGUAAACGAUGUCGAUUUGGAGGUUGUGCCCUUGAGGCGUGGCUUCCGGAGCUAACGCGUUAAAUCGACCGCCUGGGGAGUACGGCCGCAAGGUUAAAACUCAAAUGAAUUGACGGGGGCCCGCACAAGCGGUGGAGCAUGUGGUUUAAUUCGAUGCAACGCGAAGAACCUUACCUGGUCUUGACAUCCACAGAACUUAGCAGAGAUGCUUUGGUGCCUUCGGGAACUGUGAGACAGGUGCUGCAUGGCUGUCGUCAG
rnacentral:rRNA from 1 species